CCUACGGGACGCAGCAGUAGGGAAUCUUCCACAAUGGGCGAAAGUCUGAUGGAGCAACGCCGCGUGAGUGAAGAAGGGUUUCGGCUCGUAAAACUCUGUUGGUAGAGAAGAAAGAUAGAGGGAGUAACUGGCCUUUUUUUGACGGUAAUUAACUAGAAAGUCACGGCUAACUACGUGCCAGCAGCCGCGGUAAUACGUAGGUGGCAAGCGUUGUCCGGGUUUAUUGGGCGUAAAGCGAGUGCAGGCGGU
rnacentral:rRNA from 1 species